AGGAUCAUUACAGAGCUUCGAAGCCUAAGGAAAAGCAGCCGAAAGGUGAACUAUCCUUAGGAUUGAGAUCUCCACCCUUUGUUUACAUUACCUUUGUUGCUUUAGCAGGCCCGCUCUCGGGCCGCCGGCUUAGGCUGGCCAGUGCCUGCUAGAGGACCUAAAACUCUUGUUAAUAAUAUUGUCUGAGUACUAUAUAUAAUAGUUAAAACUUUCAACAACGGAUCUCUUGGUUCUGGCAUCGAUGAAGAACGCAGCGAAAUGCGAUAAGUAAUGUGAAUUGCAGAAUUCAGUGAAUCAUCGAAUCUUUGAACGCACAUUGCGCCCUCUGGUAUUCCGGGGGGCAUGCCUGUUCGAGCGUCAUUACAACCCUCAAGCUCUGCUUGGUAUUAGGCCUUACCUGCUACAGGCAGGCCGUAAAAUCAGUGGCGGUGCCUUUCGGCUUCAAGCGUAGUAAUUCUUCUCGCUUCGGAGUACCGGUUGCGUGCCUGCUAUAAAACCCCAAUUUUAUCAAAGGUUGACCUCGGAUCAGGUAGGGAUACCCGCUGAACUUAAGCAUAUCAAUAAGCGGAGGAAAAGAAACCAACAGGGAUUGCCUUAGUAACGGCGAGUGAAGCGGCAACAGCUCA
rnacentral:rRNA from 1 species